rnacentral:rRNA from 1 species
ACGGAGGGUGCAAGCGUUAAUCGGAAUUACUGGGCGUAAAGCGCACGUAGGCUGUAGUGUAAGUCAGGGGUGAAAUCCCACGGCUCAACCGCGGAACUGCCUUUGAUACUGCACAACUUGAAUCCGGGAGAGGGGGGCGGAAUUCCAGGUGGAGGAGUGAAAUGCGUAGAUAUCUGGAAGAACAACGAUGGCGAAGGCAGCCAACUGGGCCGGUAUUGACGCUGAGGUGCGAAAGCGUGGGGAGCAAACAG